rnacentral:rRNA from 1 species
AUCAACUUUCGAUGGUAGGAUAGAGGCCUACCAUGGUGGUAACGGGUAACGGGGUGUUAGGGCACGACACCGGAGAGGGAGCCUGAGAAACGGCUACCACAUCCAAGGAUGGCAGCAGGCGCGCAAAUUACCCAAUCCCGACACGGGGAGGUAGUAACAAUAAAUAACAAUACGGGGCUCUUUAGGGUCUCGUAAUUGGAAUGAGUACAAUUUAAAUCUCUUAACGAGGAACAAUUGGAGGGCAAGUCUGGUGCCAGCAGCCGCGGUAAUUCCAGCUCCAAUAGCGUAUAUUAAAGUUGUUGCAGUUAAAAAGCUCGUAGUUGAAUUUCGGGAUCAGCAGGUUGGUCGUGCCUCUGGUAUGCACUGGUUUCGCUGAUUCCUCCUUUCUGAAGAACUGUAAUGUCAUUAAUUUGGUGUUGCAGGGAAACAGGACUGUUACUUUGAAAAAAUUAGAGUGUUUAAAGCAGGCUAACGCUUGAAUACAUUAGCAUGGAAUAAUGAAAUAGGACGUUUGAUCCUAUUUUGUUGGUUUCUAGGAUUGACGUAAUGAUUAAUAGGGAUAGUUGGGGGCAUUAGUAUUCAAUUGUCAGAGGUGAAAUUCUUGGAUUUAUUGAAGACUAACUACUGCGAAAGCAUUUGCCAAGGAUGUUUUCAUUAAUCAAGAACGAAAGUUAGGGGAUCGAAGACGAUCAGAUACCGUCGUAGUCUUAACCAUAAACUAUGCCGACUAGGGAUCGGAUGAUGUUAAUUUUUUAAUGACUCAUUCGGCGCCUUACGGGAAACCAAAGUGUUUGGGUUC